UUGAACUGGGGAUCCCCCUUCAGUAAAUCCCUAAGCCUGAUGCUCUGUUACAACAAGGAAUCUUAAAUUAGUCUUCUAAAGCUCCUUCAAAUCAAUACCAUCGAAAUCAUAUGUAGUUGAAGAACAUUAAUGUUUUUGAAAGGUGGAUGGUAUAUUUUCUAGUCUCCAAUGCUGACACUUUCCACUAUGCAUUUUUAUGAAUAUCAAGACAGUAAAUAUGGCAGGGCUCUUAGACUUACAUACUACUCUACCAACCUCAUCAAAAGGUCACCAAAGAAGAUUAUUUUAAUCUAUAUGAAACACUCUAAUACCCUAAAUGUAUCCUUACUCACCUAUUUUCCCAGAAUGAAUUUUUUAGAAUUAAUGAAGACUGACCUUUUUAUUUUUUACUCAGCUCUCCAAAUUUAAUGACCAGCUAGAUCUUGUUCAAGAGUCAUUGGUAUAAUCUGUUCUUCUUUUCCAUUCUCAAGGUUACUAAUCUACUAAAAAUUGUCCUAUUAUCACAAUAGGCUAAAGACUAUAUUCGUGAUCUGGACUUGAGUGAUCUUUUCUCUUCUCCCCUUUAAUCAAUCAGCUAAGCUUUCCUUGCUUUCCGAGUCACUGCCCCACUAAUUCAUUGUUCCAGAUGAAUCUUUCUAAUCCGUCCAUUUCAUUGUUAUACUCUUACUCAAAUAAUAUUUAAAUGUCUAUAGGAUAAAGUUUGAGUUCUUAAACUAUGCAUUCAAUUCAAUUUUUGCUUCCCCUUAACCUCCUCUGCAACUGCAGGUGGCUAUGUAUCACAGUUCUCAUAAGUCAAACGUGCGUGAAAAGUCACUCAUCCUUCCCAGAAAAAAGGAAAAAAAAAAAUUUAGCUCUUGAUUUUUAUUCCUUUCUUUCAACUUAGAAGGUAGAACUGAUGACAAAAGGCAGAGCAACCAUCUUACAAAUGAGGAUGAAAAGCACAUGCCAAAGAUGAAGGAACACAUAAACAAAAAGGCUGGGUUCCUAAAGAUGUGGAGCUGUGGUAUAAGACAUAAACAACCUAUCUGUAGAUUUCCUUUUAUGGGUAAAAAACAAAACAAAAAAACCCUCUUAUUUGUUCAACACUGGUUGAUAAACAAAAGAAAUUCCAAAUGACAAACAAGACAAUGAUCUUAAUACGGUUACUAUAGAAUUCAUUAUUUAAAUCAGGACAAUGGAACUAAGUAACUGGCAAGUAGCGGGUGUAAACUAGGAUGAUGGGUUAAUGUAUUAAAAAUGAGAAAUAAAAAUUCUUUCUCUAAUAGCAAUUUAAAUAUUUAUGAUACAUACAAGUGAUGAAAUAUGAAAUAAACUCAACAUCUCCUCCAAAAAGCACAAGAACAUUAUGGAAAAAAAGUAGACCACCACUAAAUAAAAUCCAAAAAAUGGAAAGAUAGCCAUGUUUUUGGACAGAAAGACAGUAUGAUAAAAACAUCAAUACAAAUUAAAUAAGUAUCAAUUAAAUUCCCAAUAAAAUUUUUCAGACAACUUAAGCUAAUCUAAAACUAGUAUGAAGCAGAAAUGUUCAGGAUUAAAAAAAAUAAAUUAAAGAACAAAGAAAAAGAAUUCCACUAGAAAAACAGGCAAAUUAUUAUAAAUUUUAUAGUAUAACAAUUGAAAUCACAUAGCAUUGGCACAAAAAUAAACAGACUGAUGUAACAGAACAGUCCUGAAAUACAUCUGUAUCUACAGGGUAACUUAUAGACAUGAAGACAGCUUUCAAACAAACAAACAAAACAACAAAUUAGGCAUAAGUGAUGUUGGGCUAUUUGGCCCCACAUUUUGGAAAUAAUAUUGCUCCUAAUCAUAUAUUAUACCAUAUAUUAUAGAUUUAAGAAGUAAUGAAAGUAUGUCUUUUGGGUACAGAGAUCUUCCAAAACAAGACAAAGGGAGAAAAAGCUGUAAGAGAAAAAAACCAAUAAACUCGACUACACGGAAGCUAAAAACUUUAUACAUGUUUCCAGUAGACUAGAAAAAAAUGCUUCUACCAUGAAAUACAAAAUGAGUAUCUAGAGUAAUAAACACCUUCAGAUGAAAUUUUUUAAAAAGGCAAUCUAACAGGAAAAUGGAAAAAAAUAUAUGACUCAUUAAAACAGUAACAGAAAUAGCUAAUAAUUAAAAGAUGUUGAAGUUCAAUACAAAUCUGGAAAACUCAAGAUCAGAUACCAUUUUUUAUAUACUGUAUUCUAAAACUGAAAACAUUAAGAUACGACUGAUAAUACAGAAACACCAGUAUGUUCAUAUAUCAUCACUGUAAAUAAUUAUAGCUAGUUAAUGGGCAAUCUAGUAUUACCUCUCACUGUGUAUUCUAUAACCCAGCAAAUUCCACUAUAGAUAAGGUCCAAAAGAAUACAUACUUCACAAUUGUGUUUAUAUAAAGUUCAAAACAGGCACAAUCAACUGUGGUAUAAGAAAUCAAGUUAGGGGCUACUUCUGGGCAGAAAGAAGGGCUGUAAGGAUUUGGAAGAAGUAUUCAAGGGGCUUCCAGAAUGUUGUAUCCUAGGUAGAGGUUCCUUUCAUAGACAUUUCUUAAUUUUGUAAAGUAUUGUCUCCUAGUCUAAUGUUUGCCAUUUAAUACUGUGUAUAAGCUACGCAGUCAUGCACCGCAUAAUGACCUAAGACAAACCACAUAUAUUACUGUGGUCCCAUAAGAAGAACCCCCAAAGAAAUUCACAGAGAAUGGUUUAAGCAAAAGCUUUUGUGGACUUCAACAAGCUCCUAAAAAGGUUUGAAAAGAUGGACCCUGACAAUUAAAGGUUUUCAUUAACAGAGAGGAAUGUUCACAGUGCAUGAUCUGCCUACAGGCAAAUCUAUGAUGGAAAAAAAGAAACAA